UGCCAGUUUCCCUUUAUGUAAUAGCAAUAUUUAAUUAACUGAAACUUGCUUUUCUGCUCAUGAUAAAGCUGUGUAACAAAUAGCAAAAUAUGAGAUUUGAUUUACUGCAGAUACUGUAGCUAGUACUUUACAUGUGAAAAAACUUACAAAUGUUUGCCUGGAUGCCAGGCAACCAUUCUGCCUAUAAUAUUUAGUAAACCUUAAAAGAAAUGUAUG